CUGAAUAACUAUGCUGAUCGCACAGUCCUCGCACUGGCGAUGUAUCUUUCAAAUGUCUGCCUUAUCAACUGUCGAUGGUAGUAUACACGGCUACCAUGGUUGUAACGGGUAACGGAGAAUUAGGGUUCGACUCCGGAGAGGGAGCCUGAGAAACGGCUACUACAUCCAAGGAAGGCAGCAGGCACGCAAAUUACCCACUCCCGGAAAGGGGAGGUAGUGACGAAAAAUAACGAGACGGUUCUCUUUGAGGCCCGUUAUCGAAAUGGGUACAAUUUAAAUCCUUUAACGAGGAUCUAUUGGAGGGCAAGUCUGGUGCCAGCAGCCGCGGUAAUUCCAGCUCCAAAAGCGUAUAUUAAAGUUGUUGCGGUUAAAAAG
rnacentral:rRNA from 1 species